rnacentral:rRNA from 1 species
UACAUGUGGGGCAAGCGUUGCUCGGAAUCACUGGGCGUAAAGCGCACGUAGGCGGCUUGUUAAGUCAGGGGUGAAAUCCUGGAGCUCAACUCCAGAACUGCCUUUGAUACUGGCGAGCUUGAGUUCGGGAGAGGUGAGUGGAACUGCGAGUGUAGAGGUGAAAUUCGUAGAUAUUCGCAAGAACACCAGUGGCGAAGGCGGCUCACUGGCCCGAUACUGACGCUGAGGUGCGAAAGCGUGGGGAGCAAACAGG